rnacentral:rRNA from 1 species
CCUCCUUUUCGCAGCAGUGAGGAAUAUUGGUCAAUGGACGAGAGUCUGAACCCUCCCCUUCUCUUUCCUUCUUCCUUCCCUCUGUUUUGUAAACUUCUUUUCUAAAGUAAUAAAACGAGGCACGUGUGCCUUUUUGCAUGUACUUUAUGAAUAAUUAUCGUCUAACUCCGUGCCAGCAUCCGCUUUAAUACGGAGGAUCCGAGCGUUAUCCGGAUUUAUUGGGUUUAAAGGGAGCGUAGAUGGGUUGUUAAGUCAGUUGUGAAAGUUUGCGGCUCAACCGUAAAAUUGCAAUUGAUACUGGCAGU